UACGUAGGUGGCAAGCGUUGUCCGGAUUUACUGGGCGUAAAGAGCGCGCAGGCGGUCGUUCAAGUCGCGUGUGAAAGCCCCCAGCUCAACUGGGGAGGGUCACGCGAUACUGAUCGACUCGAAGGCAGGAGAGGGUAGUGGAAUUCCCGGUGUAGUGGUGAAAUGCGUAGAUAUCGGGAGGAACACCAGUGGCGAAGGCG
rnacentral:rRNA from 1 species